GCAGUCGAACGAACCAUCCUGAUGAUUGAAGCUUGCUUCAUGAUUCAGACCUUGGUGAGUGGCGGACGGGUGAGUAACACGUGGGUAACCUGCCCAGAAGUGGGGGAUAACAUUUGGAAACAAGUGCUAAUACCGCAUAACAACUUAGAUCACAUGAUCUUUGUUUAAAAGAUGGUUUUGCUAUCUCUUCUGGAUGGACCCGCGGCGUAUUAGCUAGUUGGUGAGGUAAUAGCUCACCAAGGCGAUGAUACGUAGCCGACCUGAGAGGGUAAUCGGCCACAUUGGGACUGAGACACGGCCCAAACUCCUACGGGAGGCAGCAGUAGGGAAUCUUCCACAAUGGACGAAAGUCUGAUGGAGCAAUGCCGCGUGAGUGAAGAAGGUUUUCGGAUCGUAAAACUCUGUUGUUGAAGAAGAAUAUAUGUGAGAGUAACUGUUCACGUACUGACGGUAUUCAACCAGAAAGCCACGGCUAACUACGUGCCAGCAGCCGCGGUAAUACGUAGGUGGCAAGCGUUGUCCGGAUUUAUUGGGCGUAAAGAGAAUGUAGGCGGUUUAUUAAGUUUGAAGUGAAAGCCCUCGGCUCAACCGAGGAAGUGCUUCGAAAACUGGUAAACUU
rnacentral:rRNA from 2 species